UGGGGAAUAUUGCACAAUGGAGGGAACUCUGAUGCAGCGACGCCGCGUGAACGAAGAAGGCUUUCGAGUCGUAAAGUUCUUUUAUAUGGGAAGAUAAUGACGGUACCAUAAGAAAAAGCCCCGGCUAACUACGUGCCAGCAGCCGCGGUAAUACGUAGGGGGCUAGCGUUGUCCGGAAUCGCUGGGCGUAAAGGGUUCGCAGGCGGAAAUGCAAGUCAGGUGUAAAAGGCAGUAGCUUAACUACUGUAAGCAUUUGAAACUGCAUAUCUUGAGAAGAGUAGAGGUAAGUGGAAUUUUUAGUGUAGCGGUGAAAUGCGUAGAUAUGAAAAAGAAUACCGGUGGCGAGGGCGACUUACUGGGCUCAUUCUGACGCUGAGGAACGAAAGCGUGGGUAGCAAACAGG
rnacentral:rRNA from 1 species